rnacentral:lncRNA from 1 species
UGUCGACUGCUCCUGCACCAUCUUCGCCGCCGGCGGGUAACGCCACCGCACCACCACCAGCAACACCUACUGCACCACCACCUGCAACACCUUCAUCACCACCACCUGCAACACCUUCAUCACCACCUCCGGCAACACCUUCAUCACCUCCGCCGUCAACUCCGGCGAAUCCACCACCGGUCACCCCAUCUGCUCCGCCUCCUUCUACCCCGGCAACACCUUCAUCACCACCUCCGUCGACGACUCCAUCAGCACCACCACCAUCAACACCUUCAAAUUCACCACCCUCGCCACCAACAACUCCGGCGAUAUCACCACCGUCCGGAGGAGGCACUACUCCGUCUCCACCUUCCCGGACUCCACCAAGCUCUGAUGACAGUCCAUCACCAC